CUGCCGCCCGCCUGCCGCCGCCGGGCCCGCGGGGCCGCGUUGUCCGCCGGCCGGAGUCGCAGCAGCCAGAGAUGGAUUUGCGGGCAUGGAGACUGUGGGGAAGGAUCCGGUUCCUGCUGGCAGAGAAGGCUGGCUGCUGACCCAGGGUGUGUCUCCAGGAGGCCGGCCAGGCUGCCCGGUUCCCCACCUCACCACCAUGGGCUGCCCAGGCUGACCAGUCGAUUCCUGCUGGA
rnacentral:lncRNA from 1 species